rnacentral:rRNA from 1 species
GACGAACGCUGGCGGCGUGCUUAACACAUGCAAGUCGAACGGAAAGGCCCUGCUUUUGUGGGGUGCUCGAGUGUCGAACGGGUGAGUAACACGUGAGUAACCUUCCCUUUACUUUGGGAUAACUUCAGGAAACUGGGGCUAAUACCGGAUAGGAGCUCCUGCUGCAUGGUGGGGGUUGGAAAGUUUCGGCGGUUGGGGAUGGACUCGCGGCUUAUCAGCUUGUUGGUGGGGGAGUGGCUUACCAAGGCUUUGACGGGUAGCCGGCCUGAGAGGGUGACCGGCAACAUUGGGAAUGAGAUACGGCCCAGACUCCUACGGGAGGCAGAAGUGGGGAAUAUUGCACAAUGGGAGGAAGCCUGAUGCAGAAAAGAAGCGUGCGGGAUGACGGCCUUCGGGUUGUAAACCGCUUUCGCCUGUGACGAAGCGUGAGUGACGGUAAUGGGUAAAGAAGCACCGGCUAACUACGUG